UCGUCCUCGCUCGGAAGGCGCAAAAAGGCACAAAACGCUCCAGCCAGAAGAGGCAGCGGGACAAAAGGCUGGCGGAUCCACAGCCUGACGGAGAAGAGGAGACAACAGGGAGGAGGGAACUCACACAGUAACCGAGAGAUGGAGAGAUCCAAAGAAUGCUGACUGGUUACAAACGGGCUGAAGAGCCAUCAAGUUAAGAUCCUUUCCAGAGAACUAUCAAUGACUGAGCUGGAAAUAGAAGCCAUUUCCCUGAGUUCCUGUUCAUGUACACUGUCCUCUAGUCUAGCCCAUCCUGAGGUGAAUCAUGACCAACUCAUCAAGCUUGCCCUUCUACAUUACAGGGUGAUUCACAGCCUUAGCUCUAUCCUUCUUUGCAAGAAAUUCAUGCAGAGUGAAGCCUCUCCAAAUCCAAACAGAACCAGUUGAAGAGAGCUGUCAUGAACAUCAAGUUGAAGCUCCCUUUCUUGUAAGUGUGGGUGAUAAGUACUUCAUGGAGAACAAUGGAUGCUACUCUGCCAGCAGAUUAUCCAAGCCAUGGAGAACAUCACAUGUAUUUUAAUUAUAGGGAUACUGUCAAAAAGAAAAUCAUGGGUCAAAUCCUUUGCUAGUGUAACUUACAACAGCUGCAUUGACUGAGGAGCUGACCCUUGACAUUUUAGCUGGUUUCCUUAGUCAUGCAUUGGAUUAUUACAACUAAAAGAAUUGUAAGCAUUUGAACUUCUUUCCUCCAUUCAUGAGGUUUAUUUACUGUUUCCCUUGCAAUCCAUCUGGAACAAUGGAAGUGGAUAGACCAGGUCUUUCUUUAGUAUCAGAAGAGGUACUUACUGCUCCUUCGUGCAAAGCUGUUGUAAGCACUGUUUUUAUUACUGACAUUAGGAUAAACUGGGUCUCAGCUAACCUGAGAGCAGUACCCCCUUUUGUUUACAGGCCUGCUUUACAGUCACUGAGACAAACAGCCCAUGGUUUGGGACAGAAGCUUUAUAAACCAGUUUGACCUACAUCAGUUAAAUCUGUUACUACAUUCAGACAGGUUUAUCUUAAACCAGUUUCAGCCAGUUUGAAACUGGUUUAUGUGCACUGAGCUUCUAUUCUAUUAAAGGUUUAAACCAGUUUCUGAUCACUUAAACCGGCUUAUAUGUAACUCCCUAGCCAAUGUCCUGAGAAACAGCAGAAGUACUUGCUUAGCAUGCAGCAUCAGCACCAAGUUUUCUGGGCCAAAUCCUCUAAAACCCCCUACAGCCACAGAAGACUGCUGAGGCUCUGCUGUGGGUGAGGAGAGGGAACUUGGAGACUAUGCAGGGGGACUCUGUAGCCCUUGACAUACAACAAAGAUAAGCUCCAUAUUAGCUCUUGAUAUUGGGCCAGAAAAUGUAUUUUGAAGACUGACUAAAAGGGUAGCAGGGUCUUGCCAGUCAAUCUGCAAAACAAGUACAGUCAUUCACCAAAAAUUACAUGAUGUUAUCUCAUGGGGUUGCCUCACAGAUGACCAGUGCUUCUUAGUGGCUGAGUCUGGCAGUACACAGCCUUCUUUCUAUUACUUGUGGAAAGGAUUUUGCAAUAUCAAAAUGUCCAAACACUAUGAAACUACAUCUGUCAUUCUCCUUCCCAGAACUUUGUGCUCACUGAAGCCUAAAACAAACCAAAGGUCCGCUCUAUUGGGCCCUGUUGCUUCAGGUGCUGCUUUAGUCACUUGUUUUCUCGGUAUAGCUCAAACAGGAUUUUUCUGGCUUCCCCCAGUUACAGUUAAAAUCUCCACACAUUUUGUCCUUCAGAAGUUCCCAGACAUUUCACCUGACAUUCCCAAGAAAACACUUCAUGGAGAAAUGUAAAAAAACCCACCUGCCACUCAUCUGAUUUAAAUCUUCCCUUGUUGCACUGCUGCAAUAGCUUCAGUAAACAUUUAGACAGACUGUGGCUAGCUCCAAAUUUCUAUUUGUUUGCUAAGACGUGUACAUUUGUGAUGAUUUGUUAAUGGUGGGCUUCACUUUGUAUGCUCUCACAAUUUUCCGUCAUUUCUUUAUCCUCCUUAAAAGUUAUGGCGCACUUAUUUUUAGACCUUCAAAGUUUGCCUCAGAAGGCACCUUGGUGCUUGUGACAUUGGAGAAAGUAGUUUAUUAACAGUUGUGUUUAGAACAUAGCCUUCUACUUAAGUUUUAUAAAAUAAUCCAGUUACUGCUAGCUGCUCAUUUUUUUAAAAAUAUAUGUGACAUUCAGCCCUGAGCAGUUUGCACAGGCCUAUGCAGUACAUAUGGGUUUAAUGGGAUUUAAAUGGUGCACAGGUAACUGCUUGAUCAGUGUGUGCCCCCAUAGAUACCUGAUCCACAAGCAAUGAGAGUUAUUUACAGUCCCCAGUUACAUGUUGGCUCGCAUUGGGGCUGCAUACCUGGGACUGAACAGGGGAAGGCCCAGAACUAAAAGUAUGAGUUACUAAAGUUCAGGCUCUCUAAAAGACUACUGAAGCAGGAGGGAUUCCUAGCCUACACUAUGUACUGGGUUAUACAUAGAUUUUGCAUUAGCUUUCUAUACUAGAGAAUAUUUCACCAUAGAUGCAUUUUAGCAUUCAUGCCUGUUAAUUCUGUAGGCCAGCCUUCCAUCCUUCUGAAAGAUGUCAAAUAAAUGAUUUUGAAUGGAACCUUUUGAUGACUCAUUAAUGAUCUUACAGACCUUUCUGUAGAAAUAGGAGGUUGUUCCUUUAUCUUUGGUCCAACACUUCCCCCUCCCUCUGGUGCAGCCACUUGGGAUUAGAUCAGGGAUGUGCAAUUAUUUGGGCUGGAGGGCCACUUAAUGAGUUUUGCUGAGCUCUUGAGGAGGGCUGCACAACCAACAGGGCUCUUGGACUGCACACCAUCCUCCCCCUCCCCCCACAGCUGCAAGGAGCCCUGAUGGUGGGUUAAGACAGGACAGAGUGG